UUUGAAACGCGUUAGGGAUUGUAGUGUAAAUCAUAUUUGAGCCUGUUGGGUCUCCAGCUUUGGCUCAAAUAGAUUGUAGCGCAAAGCCUGACCUCGC
rnacentral:sRNA from 1 species